rnacentral:rRNA from 1 species
UACGAAGGGGGCUAGCGUUGUUCGGAAUUACUGGGCGUAAAGCGCACGUAGGCGGACAUUUUAAGUCAGGGGGUGAAAUCCCAGAGCUCAACUCUGGAACUGCCUUUGAUACUGGGUGUCUUGAGUAUGGAAGAGGUGAGUGGAAUUCCGAGUGUAGAGGUGAAAUUCGUAGAUAUUCGGAGGAACACCAGUGGCGAAGGCGGCUCACUGGUCCAUUACUGACGCUGAGGUGCGAAAGCGUGGGGGAGCCAAACAGG